AAAAAGGGCUUCUGUUGUGAGUGGCGCACGUAGGGCAGCUUCGUUGCUCUUCGUGGGGAAUCGACAUCAAGAGAUUUCAGAAGCAUAAUUUUUUGGUACCCUGGCAACUGGUGAUCAUUGGUCCCGGUGCCCUC